rnacentral:SRP_RNA from 1 species
GACCGGUCGCCGCGUAACAGAAGGUCAUGAACCUCGUCAGGUCCGGAAGGAAGCAGCGAUAAGUGAUAUCAUCUGUGUCGUGGAUCGAUCCCGGUUAUGC